rnacentral:tRNA from 4 species
GCGCCGAUGGUCUAGUGGCUAUGAUUCGGCCUUGCCAAGGCCGCGACCCGGGUUCAAAUCCCGGUCGGCGCA